rnacentral:rRNA from 1 species
UACGGGGGGAGCAAGCGUUGUUCGGAUUUACUGGGCGUAAAGAGCGCGCAGGCGGUCGUUCAAGUCGCGUGUGAAAGCCCCCGGCUCAACUGGGGAGGGUCACGCGAUACUGAUCGACUCGAAGGCAGGAGAGGGUAGUGGAAUUCCCGGUGUAGCGGUGAAAUGCUUAGAUAUCGUCAAGAACACCGAUAGUGAAGACAGCUAACUAAGCUCAACAUGCGCUGAGGCACGAAAGUGUGGGGAUCAAACAGG